UACGUAGGGUGCGAGCGUUAAUCGGAAUUACUGGGCGUAAAGGGUGCGCAGGCGGUUCUGCAAGUCAGGGGUGAAAGCCCCGGGCUUAACCUGGGAAUGGCGCUUGAAACUACAGGACUGGAGUAUGGCAGAGGGAGGUGGAAUUCCACGUGUAGCGGUGAAAUGCGUAGAGAUGUGGAGGAACACCGAUGGCGAAGGCAGCCUCCUGGGCCAAUACUGACGCUCAUGCACGAAAGCGUGGGGAGCAAACAGG
rnacentral:rRNA from 1 species